ACACUAUUUAUAUUUACAGACACAUACACUUAUUUAUCUAACACACAUACUUAUUGUACCUUACAUUUUUUUGCACAUAAUAUACCUGUACAUACACAACUGCUCAUUGUAAUAUACCUGCCAUACAAUUGUCAAUUUGUAUAUUGUCAUUUCUUACCUACUUAUUUGUAUUUUUUGUAUUUUUUAUUCUUUAUUAUGUGUUUUUUGUUCUGUCGCUGUCAUUCUGUUGCAUUGCGGAGCUUCUGUCACGAAAACAAAUUCCUUGUAUGUGUGAACAUACCUGGCAAUAAAGCUCAUUCUGAUUCUGAUUCUAAUACAUGUAGAAGUAAAAAGUGAGUUUAAAAAAAAAAAAAAAAGUAAUCUGGUUGUAAAGCAAUUAUUUAUUGAAAAUACAAAAACCUUUGCUGAUUUUUUUUUUUUUAACUCCGCUGCAGGUCUCAAAUUUCAUUCUCCUCUCAAUUUAUUCAUGUGUAUCAUUUUUUUUCGCAGCUUAAAUGUGAAUAAAGUCGAACCUGGUCAACAUACCAUUUUUGAUCUGAAUGCAAUCUAUCUGAGACCUUUUGAAAUAGAGGGUGACUAUCAAUAAUGACUUAAAAUGGGUCUGUUUCACACUCAAAACCAUCCUAUGAUGUCAGAAAUGGAGCAAGAGUCAUAUGGACUAUACUUUUAAGGGUGCUUCUUGCUUUCUUGGCCUUUUUGGACUAAAAAGCAGUCCAUGAAUUUGUCAGGUCACUCAUUACAUGUAUCAACAAGCUCUUAUCAAAAUCAGCCCCACUCAGAAAGGCAGUGUAACCAGAGAAGUAGUAAUUGGCUCUAUCAAGGGAAGUGUCACGGUUGAGUGCCACACAUCUGCUAUCUAUACUGCACACUCAGGUUUCAUGCCACUUUGGCAAUAUUACAUUCUGUGUUACAGGACAGCAUGUACGGUUUGAUUAGAGCAAGCUUCAGAUGGGCCGCUCUCACACAUUACACUGGCCAUGCAUAAACAUUAACAGAGUCAUAUCAGAUGGUUUUCCUCAUUUCAUCUUUCCCCCUGAAGACCACAUGAAAAGGGUCAGGCUGAGUAAACCUGCGUGUGUCUCCAGGGCAGAGAGACGCGGAGAGAGCCGGACACACUGUCCACAUCACGGAGAGCUCAUACCUAUCUUGAAAAAUACGUCUAAUAUGCGAUGGUAAGGUCAGAGCCGUGUGUGAUCAUUACUCUCUCUCUCUCUCUCAUGCACCACUGAUGCACAUCUCAUUACCAGAUGCUUAAUAAUGUGUGUCGUGACGCUCUUUUCUUUAUGAGUUCAACCAACACUCAUUUGUUUUCGGUGCAAAACAUUUGUUCUUUACACUUCUUUACACUAGUUAUUAAAUAUAGGCAGGGCAAAAAUUAACACUUGCCUAGCAGAUAUAGUAAUAACUAGUCUGUUUGCUAGUAACACUUUUUGCAACAUAAUAAAUGGUUGAUUUUAAGGGCUCAUAUUAUGAGGAAUCAAAUCAGGGUUAUUAUAAUGAACUAAAACCAAACACUAAAAAUAAAUAAAUAAAUAAAAUAAAAUAAAAUAAUUACAAAAAAAUGAAAAUAAUGAAAUAAAUGAAAAAAUAAUACUGAAAGUAUUAAAAUAACUACAACAAAACAAACUAAAACUAAUAAAUACAACUCAAAACUUUAUGGACAUAAAAAAAAAACUAAUAAAAAUGACUAAACUAAAUGAUUAAAAUAAAAUAAAAUUGAAAACAGAAUAUAUAAAUAUAUCUAAAAUAAAAUAAAAAUAUUCUAAAUACAUAAAAAUAAAUUAAAAAUAUUAAGAAAAAUAUAACACUGAAUUAAAUGUACAUAAAACAACGAAUUUCAGCACUCAAAAAUUCAUUAAAAACUAAGUUGCCAAAACAGUUUGUUCUGGUGUGCUUGGUUUUCUGACAUCAGAAAACAAAACAUUACCCUGCGCCGGCGCAGACAGACACAUCCAGACAGAGCGAGGAGGAUGUGGAUAGACACAGGCACACAUAAACUGCUAAUCACAGAAUGAUAAACAUCUUCUCCCCGAAUACAUUCUCACACAAACAGCAACAAACGAUCUGAUUCUUGACAACAUGCCAACAGACAACAGCGGAGAAAGGCUUGCGGUUGUUUUUUUGUUUUUUGUACUGAGCAGGAAACAUAAGAAGAAAAAAAAGAGGUGAAAAUGUGGAUGACACAGUGCUCGGGGAGACGUGCAGUUCGAUGUUUUCUUCUUGCUGAUCUUGUUGUUACUCCCACUUCCCAAAGCCUUUCCUCAUGCACUCACUGCCUGCUGUUCAUUGGUGCUCUUGUGCAACAUGCAGUUUCACAGUUUGAGUCUUGUAGUGUGCACUUGACUUUAAAGAUACUAGUCUAUAUGUAGAAUUCAGAAACCCUUGUUAUUGACUGCAGUCAGCAACUGCUUGUGCUCACACUCGUGCACUUAACUAACAAGAGACUGAAUGUGAUUCAAGGCACCAAUAUACUCAGUGAAGUUCUGUUUUAGUAAAGUACCUUUGCAUCAAUAUACCGUUAAUGAACAUCCAGACACCAUCCACGCUACUGAGAGCACACGUUUAGAUGAAUAUGUAAAUAUGUUCUGUGGGCUUUCCUCAAAAACAAAAUAAAAAUGACAGUGGUGAGAAAGUUUCUUUACUUUAAAUUUUUAAAAACUCUUUAUAGUUCAAAUGAAAAAGUUUUAUGAAGCGAUAAACCUCACAUUUUAGCCUAAUAAACGAUUAUCUGUGUUAUAUAUAAUUGGUCUGAACACAAACAGCAGAAGGGCCAAAUGAAAAUACUAUUUCAGUCUCUUGGAAAAGCAAAAAUAUACCGGUUACCCCUGUAGAUGAAGCAGCACUGCAUGUGCUUAUACAUACUACCUGUAUUAGGCAUCAGAGAGAUGAAAAGAAAAUGCAAUAAUGACUUUUCUGAAUAGGAUCAUUCAUAUAACACCCUUUUUUCAUCUCAUAACAAAAAAAUUUGCUGAAAGGUAAUGAGUUUCCAAGCAUUAAAAAAAGAAUUAUAUAUAAAAAAAGGCAGAUGAAAUGUUUAUAAUAAAAUGCAUUAAGAAAAUAUAAGUCAAUUUUGAUUUCAAGCUGACUUUAAUUCGAAGGGUCAAAGACAGGGUGGAAUGAGGUCUUAGAAAGCUAAAUCAUGAGGUGUUGACUAAGAAGAGUAUAGGUAGUGGAUCUAAGGGAAAACUUUUACAUAAUAAAAGAUGGAAGUCUGCUCUUGUCAUUGCUGUAAACAAUCAAGCAUUGUGAGCCGUUACAAGACAUUUACAUCUCUGGUAAUGAUGCCCAUGAGCAAAGUUUCCUGCAAGGCCUUGUUUACCGCAGAAAUAAAUGCAUACAGUACUUUAACGUCCAGUAGAUUCACUCAGGAUUCAGUGUCUAAAAUGUCAUUUUGGAACCUGUAUAGAAUAACUAAUUACAUGAAUAAAUAAUAUGAGACCAUUUGUUUUCUGAAUAUUUAUACUUCAUUUGACAAAGUUUACUUUGACCAGGUUAAUGGCCCUUCCAGAUUCUUUUGGCUCUCCAUGACUUCCAGAACAUAAAAUGAGCUGCUCUUGUUUGGACAUGAAAGGAAAAUAUUUGGGCAAAUGUGUAUGUGUGUGUGUGUGUGUGUGUGUGUGUGUGUGUGUGUGUGUGUGUGUGUAUGUGUGUGUGUGAGCUGGAUGAUGGUGAAUGUGGGUUCAGGACUUUUUAUUUCAUAUUUUUAUAGAAACAAUCUCUUAUAGAUGAAGAAAGAAGUUAAAUGUCUAGCAGGAAUUAUUGUAUCAAAUUAAUGUUUUGUGUUUGUUUGUUUGUUUGUUUUAAAGUGGGAUGCAUAUAAGCCUGUUUUGAGUGCAGAAUAAAAAAAGGGGGUAUUUGUGAUUAUUUUUUUUUAUCUAAGAAAAAAACCUCAGAAUUGUAAGAUAUAAAUUGUGAUAUAUAAAUGUAAAAUUGUGUGAUAAAAACUAACAACUAAUUUUUUUAUUUUUUGUUUUGUGGUGGAAACAAAAAAAGUCAGAAUUGUAAGAUGUAAAAGUGAGAUGUAAAAGAAAGAAAAUCAUAAUUCUGAUUUUAUAUUUGACAAUUCUGAGAAAAAAAAAUCAUAAUUCUAAGAUGAAAAAGUCUCGAUUACUUUAUUUAUUCAUUCCAUGGCAGAAACAAGUUUACACAGGUGUUUGAAUAGAUAUUAGGUAAUUACUAGGGACAACUAUUUCCUUAUUAUUAACAUAUUGUCACAGACUGCCUACUGCGUAGGAACGAGGAGCGCGUUGACGAUGGAGAUCAACACAAGGAACAAUCUUUAUUUAUCCAAAUAAAGACUUACAUAGGCAGGAACACACACGUAGCACACAGGAAUAGACAUUUAACACUGGACGCAGGGCUUAAAUACCUCUGUAGAUUUACUAAAAUGGGAGUUGUUUGGAUGCAGGUGUUACAGAGCAUUUUCUAAAUGUUAUAGCUCUUAUUGUAAACAAUUCAUCCAUGCAUGUUUCAUUUUUGACAAUGAUUUUACCUUGUAUUGUUUAAUUAAAAUGUUGUACCUGGAUCUUGUAGCAAAAAAAGUCCUCUUAAGCUGCGCUCCUCCAAUCUCACAAUCACCUGCUCCUCGUUUGAGAGCCACGCCCACAUCUCAACAACCAAUCAACAGCUGGUUAAUAAAACCAUUCCCCAUCCUACAUUUUUUAUUGUUCAAGAAUGAGUCAUAGGUAUGGCUACUUUAAAAUCUAAAAGUUAUUUUAUCAUUUUUUUUUUUUUUUUGGUUGCUUGAAUCAAUGUGUUAGCCUUAAGGUCACAUAUAAGCUAUGUGAUACAAAUUAAAGCGACAAUUUGCUUUUAGAAGAUAUGCAUUUGAAAGUGUCUCUCCACCGUCAUAUGGAUCAGUGAUCUUGAUUAAAUCAUUCUUCACUUCAGGUUGCAUGUUUUUUGUCACUUUUUUAUAGUAACACUUUCAUAUUAAAUUUAAAGGUGGAAUCUUUUAGACUGAUAGAAUACAACUGUAGCUGUCACAAGCUGUCAAAUAUGGUUUUGCUGUGUUCUAAUGUAAACAAAAUGCUAUUGGCCAUUUUAAAAAAAAAGUCAAGUCUGAUCACUUUUAUUUCUAUACCACUUUAUACAAUACAGAAUGUGUCAAAUCUGCUUCAAAGGGAUAAACAGGAAAAUAACAUUUCAGUGAUCCAAACAGAAUCCAAUUUUGCUGUAAAGCAGCUCUAAAAAGACAAUAGUGAACAGUCAUUAUUCAGUUGAAACCAGGUUGCUGAAUCAAAAAAGGGGAUGAACCACUCGAUAGGUCCCACCCUGACUUCCGGUUUCAUUAAAUUACGUCACAUUGAAAAACUCAAAUGGGACUUAAAGUUCAGGGGUAAACUUUCAAUACAUUAACAUAAGUUAUGAAUUACAAUAAUAAUGAAAUAACAAUGAACAACAUUUUUUUUUACCUCAUUAUUAAUCUAGGUUCAUGUUAAUUUCUCUCUCUCUCUCUCUCUCUAUAUGCUGUAUAUAUAAGGCAUUUAUUAAUUCAUGUUCGUUCAUAAUACAUUUACUAAUAUAAAUUAAAAAACUUAUAAAAGUACCAUAUUUUAGAUCCCUUACUCCAGCCCCAUACCUAAAUUUAACAACUACCUAACUAUUAAUAACCAGCAAAUUAGGAGUUUAUUGAAGCAAAUGUCAUAGUUCAUAGUUAGUUGACAGUAAGAACUGGUCCACAACCUAAAGUGUGACCCUUAAUUGUUAGUUUUUUAUCUUGUAUGGUGAUAAAAUGUAUCCUCUGCACAGUUUCAAAAAACAGACUCUAUUGAUUUAAUUUUAUUUUUAUGUCAGAUG
ensembl:lncRNA